rnacentral:rRNA from 1 species
AAAAACAUUUCCUCUUGGUAUAAGAGGUAAGGCCUGCUCACUGACUAGGUUGAAGAGCCGCAGUAUAUUGACUGUGCUAAGGUAGCAUAAUCAUUAGUCCUUUAAUUGGGGACUGGUAUGAAUGGCUAAACGAGAAAUUAGCUUUCUUUGUUAUGGUUUGUUGAAUUUAACUUGUAAGUGAAAAGGCUUACAUGAUUCAGAAAGACGAGAAGACCCUAUAGAGUUUUACAAAGGCCUAAAAUACAGCUUAUUAGUUUUUAAGGGUUAUAUUUUGGAAAUUUGUUUGGUUGGGGCGACAUAAAGAUAAAAAAAACUCUUUGUAGUAUAAACUUUGGUGGAAGAAAAGGUUUGAUCCUCUAAAAGGGAUUAUAAGAAAAAAUUACCUUAGGGAUAACAGCGUAAUCUUCUUUUAGAGUUCAAAUCGACAAGAAGGUUUGCGACCUCGAUGUUGGACUAAAAUUUGGGCAAGGUGCAGCAGCUUUGUUUUUGGGUCUGUUCGACCCGUAAUAUUUUACAUGAUCUGAGUU